rnacentral:tRNA from 1 species
GGAGGCGGGUAAUGCCUGGUCAGGGGCUUGUGUUGGGCAGGCUGUGAGUCUGCCGGCUCAGCCUUCCCGGGUUCGAAUCCUGGCGCCGCCA